rnacentral:rRNA from 2 species
AACGAACGCUGGCGGCAGGCUUAACACAUGCAAGUCGAGCGCCCCGCAAGGGGAGCGGCAGACGGGUGAGUAACGCGUGGGAAUCUACCCAUCUCUACGGAAUAACGCAUGGAAACGUGUGCUAAUACCGUAUACGUCCUUCGGGAGAAAGAUUUAUCGGAGAUGGAUGAGCCCGCGUUGGAUUAGCUAGUUGGUGGGGUAAAGGCCUACCAAGGCGACGAUCCAUAGCUGGUCUGAGAGGAUGAUCAGCCACACUGGGACUGAGACACGGCCCAGACUCCUACGGGAGGCAGCAGUGGGGAAUAUUGGACAAUGGGCGCAAGCCUGAUCCAGCUAUGCCGCGUGAGUGAUGAAGGCCCUAGGGUUGUAAAGCUCUUUCACCGGUGAAGAUUAUGACGGUAACCGGAGAAGAAGCCCCGGCUAACUUCGUGCCAGCCGCCGCGGUAA